rnacentral:rRNA from 1 species
UACAGAGGGUGCGAGCGUUUAAUCGGAAUUAAUGGGCGUAAAGCGCGCGUAGGCGGCUUUGCAAGUCGGGUGUGAAAUCCCCAGGCUUAACCUGGGGAACUGCAUUCGAGACUGCAUUGCUAGAGUAUGGGAGAGGGAAGUGGAAUUUCCGGUGUAGCGGUGAAAUGCGUAGAUAUCGGAAGGAACAUCAGUGGCGAAAAGCGACUUCCUGGACCAAUACUUGACGCU